CUCUGAGCCUGCGCGUGGCGAGAACAAGUCGAGCCCCGAGCGGCGGGGGGCGGGGGGUGCCGAGGAAGCCCGGCCCCGGCAGGGGACGCCGCCCCGCUCAGAAAUGAGCACCGAGCGUGCCAUUGCUGUAUGCGGAAAGCUGGGUGACGAAUCUCGAAAGCUUCUCCUUGGUUUCAUAUCUCAGAAGCCAUACAACCUGAGCCUGCAGAAAUCCCCCUUGUCCUGCCCCUGCCAGGAGCCUGUAGGAACUGGGAGGAAAGACAGGCAGAAGGUCUGAACCUCGGAAGGCCUGAUGGACUCUUCUGGAAGGGGUUUCACCUCCCCCCGCCCCGGCCCCAAACACCUUCUAAUGCUUUAUUCUGGCAUUGAGACUGUCCAAAAUGGCACCACAGAGUUUAAUUAAUCAUUCUCCUAUUGCUCUGUAGAGUUUAUGUCAGUAAAUGUUUCAUUUCAUUAAAAAACAAACUACUCAAAUGGAAA